rnacentral:lncRNA from 1 species
UUUUGGACUACUCAGAUGGUCCUCCUAAAAUCCAAGAGCCAAACAGAAAAACAAAUAGAAUUAAGAAAAUGACAACUGCAAACUGAGAACAAAAAUGCUCUGUAAAUAUCAAUACUUCAUUGAGAACCUCAAUGUGCUGAAGAGACAACAGUUAAUUCAACUUCUGUGAGGAAAGAUAAAUAAUAAAAACCUCCUUCACAAAUUAGAAGGCAGGAAGAGAGCCCGAGCACAUUGGAAUGGUAUCCCUGCUGACUUCAGUGGUCUUUGCAGAAGGUCUCCUCUCAUCUGAGCAAGGUCAGGGCUGCUGACUGCCACAGGAUGCAGAUGAGAGCCAGGUUCUCUUCUGUCUUUCUCCCCAGUGCUAAACCAGCAUCACACAAGUUCAUCUUCUAGUGCACAGCUUGUGGAAAUAUGUCACAUUUCUGUGGUGCAGCAGAGUGGGAGGCAGAAAAUCUGGAUCUUAUUACCAGUUUCGCCAUGGUCUUCCUAUGUGAACAUGGUAUGGAUUCUUCUGGGCAACCUGAAGCUUCUCUGUGCAGCAGAAAAAGUGGCCACAGCUGCUCAUGCUCAUGCUCAUACCACCCAGAUGUCCUGGGAUGUGGCUGCAUGGCAGCCCAGACCUGCUCUUCAACAGCUCCUCAG